rnacentral:misc_RNA from 1 species
UGGCUCUGGCAUCGAUGAAGAACGCAGCGAAAUGCGAUAAGUAAUGUGAAUUGCAGAAUUCAGUGAAUCAUCGAAUCUUUGAACGCACAUUGCGCCCGCCAGUACUCUGGCGGGCAUGCCUGUCCGAGCGUCAUUUCAACCCUCGAGCCCCCGGGCUUGGUGCUGGGGAUCGGCCGUCAAAGGCCGGCCCCGAAAUUGAUUGGCGGUCUCGCCGUAGCCUCCUCUGCGUAGUAGCAACACCUCGCACUGGAACGCGGCGCGGCCCAGCCGUUAAACCCCCAACUUCUGAAAGGUUGACCUCGGAUCAGGUAGGAAUACCCGCUGA